AUCCUGUUGAAGAGUCCCAGACCAGGGCGAAACAGCUGUCCAGUAC
rnacentral:hammerhead_ribozyme from 1 species